rnacentral:rRNA from 1 species
UACGUAGGGUGCAAGCGUUAAUCGGAAUUACUGGGCGUAAAGCGUGCGCAGGCGGUUAUGUAAGACAGAUGUGAAAUGCCCGGGCUUUAACCUGGGAACUGCAUUUGUGACUGCAUGGCUAGAGUUUGGCAGAGGGGGGGUAGAAUUCCACGUGUAGCAGUGAAAUGCGUAGAUAUGUGGAGGAACACCGAUGGCGAAGGCAGCCCCCUGGGUCA